CCUACGGGCGGCUGCAGUGAGGAAUAUUGGUCAAUGGACGAGAGUCUGAACCAGCCAAGUAGCGUGAAGGAUGACUGCCCUAUGGGUUGUAAACUUCUUUUAUAUGGGAAUAAAACGUUCCACGUGUGGGAUUUUGUAUGUACCAUAUGAAUAAGGAUCGGCUAACUCCGUGCCAGCAGCCUCGGUAAUACGGAGGAUCCGAGCGUUAUACGGAUUUAUUGGGUUUAAAGGGAGCGUAGGUGGAUUGUUAAGUCAGUUGUGAAAGUUUGCGGCUGAACCGUAAAAUUGCAGUUGAAACUGGCAGUCUUGAGUACAGUAGAGGUGUGCGGAAUUCGUGGUGUAGCGGUGAAAUGCUUAGAUAUCACGAAGAACUCCGAUUGCGAAGGCAGUUCACUGGACUUCAACUGACACUGAGGCUCGAAAGUGUGGGUAUCAAACAGGAUUAGAUACCCGUGUAGUC
rnacentral:rRNA from 1 species